rnacentral:rRNA from 1 species
UACGAAGGGGGCUAGCGUUGUUCGGAAUUACUGGGCGUAAAGCGCACGUAGGCGGAUUGACAAGUUGGGGGUGAAAUCCCGGGGCUCAACCUCGGAACUGCCUUCAAAACUGUCUAUCUAGAGGUCAGGAGAGGUUAGCGGAAUACCGAGUGUAGAGGUGAAAUUCGUAGAUAUUCGGGGGAACACCAGUGGCGAAGGCGGCUAACUGGACUGAUGCUGACUAUGAGGUGCGAAAGUGUGGGGAGCAAACAGG